GUUCUCUACUUCCUGAAUUCCUCGAAAUCCCACCUCACUGCCUCUCCUGCAGAGUUAGAACUCCAGGAAAAAGCCAAAAUUUAUUUCAGAACUCUGUUAUAAACAUCCUUAAAGACAGACGCCAGGUGGUGGGUGGGGCCAAGGCCCCGAGGGUGGAAGGGUUUUGGGUGUGUUCAUCGGCUGGAGCAGUGCUCACUGGGAGCUGAAAGGACUUUGAGAGCAGAGCCAUACGGGGUGCUCAGACGUGUCCACCGUGAGCUCGGAAGCUGCAGGACGGGACCCACACAGCCUUCCCCGUGGGCCUCCGGGGAACCCAGUGGCCCCACUCAGGGCCUCCCAGGGCCCCGCCUGUGAAGGAGGAAGCUGCGAGGAGUGCCCAGGGCUGGGAAUCCCUCAGAUACCUUUGUCCGUCCCCCAAGGGGUAAUGAAGCGGGCAUCUGUUCCUGCGCAGGCGUCCUUGGGGACGGGUGUGGAUUCCUUCCUGUGACAGCUGCGGAAGCCACCAGAACACGGUGCAGAGAGCACAAGGCUGGAUUUCCAUCCCAGUGUGGGCCGCACCCUAUGUGGGGGGAGUGUUUGCCCUUCCAUAAACGUAAAAAUUGCUUAAUAUGACUCCAGAGAAGACUAAAUACAUGUUUGCUGGUAGACUCUCUCUUGUUUAUUUUUUCUGUUUUCAGGAGUGGGUGGGACUUCCUCCAGCAACUACUGGUUUCCUGAAAAUCUGGACCAAGCCUGAGACUUUUUGUGUACUUGUAGCUUUGUUUUGAUUUAUGUAUUUAUUGUGAGCUCUCUAGGGGACCUCAAAAAAAAAAAAAAAAAAAAAAA